rnacentral:rRNA from 1 species
UGCCAGCAGCCGCGGUAACACGGGGGGCGCAAGCGUUAUUCGGAAUUAUUGGGCGUAAAGGGCGCGCAGGCGGUCUUGUCCGUCAGGUGUGAAAGCUCGGGGCUCAACCCCGGAAGUGCACUUGAAACAGCAAGACUUGAAUACGGUAGAGGAGAGAGGAAUUCCUGGUGUAGAGGUGAAAUUCGUAGGUACCCGGAGGAACACCCGUGGCGAAAGCGGCUCUCUGGGCUGUACCUGACGCUGAUACACGAAAGCGUGGGGAGCAAACCGGAUUAGAUA